GUCGGGACGCGGCGCCGUUCGGUCGGUUUGCCCUCUCUCGGAGCUGGCGUUCUGGUGGAUAAGAACGUGUGCAGUGCUUGCAAAGUAGAGAACGGAGAUGAAGAGAGAAGACGUUGGAGAGAACAGGUCAUAUGAUUUGACCCUGAGCGGGACUGCAAAUCGAUUAAGCCAGAGGCAAUGAUCGAUUGAGGAUCGAUGGUGCCAGAAUUGAACUCUGAACUUUGGAACGCCCUUAGCUGUAAUAACUUCACAUUAACCGCUACACUACGGUAGCACCCACCUUCAUCUUGAGCAGCUGUGUUACACAAGGAUAUGCUCCAUAGGGUGCACACUGAGACAAUCACUAAAUGCUGUUGGAAGAUCAACUCAGUGAAAGACACCCUUUGCUUUCCCAAAUUUUGUGACUCUUCCAGCGCAAGAAGAUAGACAGAAUGUGGAAGAUUGGCAAGGUUGUGAACAACUUUCUGAAGGGUGUAACGGCCACAGGCUGCCAUUGUACACUGCGAGAACUAGAUCCUAUGUAUAAAUUUUGUGACCCUUGUAUAAGAUCAGGUGUGCUGGCAUUGAAGGGGUUGCAGAGGAGGAUCAAAAGAAUGAUUCUGGGAAAGAAAGGGUUAAUGUAUAAGGAGAGUUUGAUGGUUCUAGGUCUGUACUCACUGACGUUUAGAAGAAAGAGGGGCAAGCUCAUUGAAACCUAUCAAAUAUUGAAAGGCCCAGAUAGAGUGGAUGUGGAGAGGCUGUUUCCUAUGGUGGGGGAGUCUAGGACCAGAGGGCACAGCCUCAGAAUAGAGGGAUAUACCUUUAGAACGGAGAUGAGGAAUUCUUUAGCCAGAGGUUGGGGAAUCUGUGGAAUUCGUUGCCACAGGCCACUGUGGAGGCCAGAUCAUUGGGUGUACUUAAGUUGGAGGUUGAUAGGUUUUGGUUAGUCAGGGUGUGAAAGUUUACAGGGAGAAGGUAGGAGAUGGGGUUGAGAGGGAAAUGGAUCAGCCAUGAUGAAAUGGUGGAGCAGAUGAUGGGCCGAAUGGCCUAAUCAUGCUCCUAUGUCUCGUGUUAUAAAUCAUUUGGAAUGUUAUCUCAAAAAAAGUAUGUACAUGAAAAUGAAUGACAUGCCAGAAUAAUUCAAAUAAUUAAUAAUUUAGGAUUCCAUAACGGUUAACACGCAGGUUGAAUUGGUAGUGAAGAAGGUAAUGCAGCAUUAGUGUUUAUUCAAGGAGACUAGAAUAUUAAAGCAAGGAUGUGACACUGAAGCUUUAUAAGACAUUGAUCAGACCACAUUUUGUUAUUGUGCUCAGUUUCUAAGGAAUGAUGUGCUGGCAUUGGAAAAGAUCUAGAGGAGGUUCGCAGGAGUGAUCCCAGAAAUGAAAGGGUUGAUGUAGUAUGAGAUUGUUCGCUGGCUCUGGGCCUGUCCUUGCUCAAAAGAAUGAGUGGAGUUCUCUUUUUAACACCUACCCAAUAUUGCAGGAGCUAGACAGAGUGUGGACACAGAGACCAUGUUUCUAAUAGUGAAAAAGUCUAGGACCAGAGGGCACAGAAGGAUGUCCUUUCAGAACAAAGAUGAGGAGGAAUUUCUUUUGCCAGAGAGUGGUGAAUCUGUGGAAAUCAUUGUCACAGAUGGGCGUGGAAGUCAUUGGAUGUAUCAAAAGCAGAGGCUGAUGGGUUCUUGAUUAGCGAGGGCAUCAAAGGUUACAGGGAAAAGGAAGGAGAAUGGGGCUGAGAAGGAAAGUAAAUUAUCCAGAAUCAAAUAGCAGAGCAGAACUGAUGCAUCAAAUGCCCUAAUUCUGUCUUGUGGUCACAAAUAAUUGUACAAUUCAUACUGAGAAUGAUGUGUCCUACACAUUUUGUAAUAUUUAUGAAUAAAUUAUUAUCAAUAUAUAGAAAAAA